rnacentral:misc_RNA from 1 species
CUUCAUGAAAGGUCCCUUUUAACAAUUAAUUGGGUUGUCUUCAUUCCCAACUUCACCCAAGCCUUCUAAUGGUUUGUUAAAUCACUUCAUCUCUUGUAUUUCUUCGCCGUGUUCUAUACGAAUUCCGCACUUAGUUGAACUGCUUUCCCUGUUUGGAUGUGGACGGGAAUUCAUUGACUUGGAAGAAGAGGCUAAGGUGAUUUGAUGUAAAUUGGGAAGAUCCAGG